rnacentral:rRNA from 1 species
AGUGAACGCUGGCGGUAGGCCUAACACAUGCAAGUCGAACGGCAGCACAGUAAGAGCUUGCUCUUACGGGUGGCGAGUGGCGGACGGGUGAGGAAUACAUCGGAAUCUACUUUUUCGUGGGGGAUAACGUAGGGAAACUUACGCUAAUACCGCAUACGACCUACGGGUGAAAGCAGGGGAUCUUCGGACCUUGCGCGAUUGAAUGAGCCGAUGUCGGAUUAGUUGGUUGGCGGGGUAAAGGCCCACCAAGGCGCCGAUCCGUAGCUGGUCUGAGAGGAUGGUCAGCCACACUGGAACUGAGACACGGUCCAGACUCCUACGAGAGGCAGCAGUGGGGAAUAUUAGACAAUGGGCGCAAGCCUGAUACAGCCAUACCGCGUGGGUGAAGAAGGCCUUCGGGUUGUAAAGCCCUUUUGUUGGGAAAGAAAAGCAGCAGGUUAAUACCCCGCUGUUCUGACGGUACCCAAAGAAUAAGCACCGGCUAACUUCGUG